CGUCCCAUAGCUCAGUUUGGUAGAGUGCCUGAAAUAUAGUAGGGAGGUCGCUGGUUCGAAUCCAGUUGGAGACGU
rnacentral:tRNA from 1 species